CCCUGCCCCGCCCCUCCGAAGCGCUCCAUGGUCUCCAGCACAGCCCCAGCAGCUCCAGGAAGGAGGAGACCUCCCCCCGCAGGCCUCCAGCCCCCCGGGAGACCCAGAGCCUGCGGGGGGAGGGCUCAGGAACCCCCAGACCCUCCCAGGGACCCCCAGACCCUCUCCGGGACCUCCCAGGGACCCCCAUAUUCGCCCACUGUCCUCCCAGAGACCCCCACUCACCUCCUUGUAUGCCCCCACUAAUCCCCCAGCCCCUCCCCGUCCCCGCCCAGCACCCCCCAGUGCCCACUCAGGCCCUCAGCUUGUCCCCGCAGCACUGCAGCCUGGCCUGGGGGCGCUGCUGAGGCCCUCACCGAAUCGCCACCGCUCGCCGCAGCCUGUCAGUGGCCAUCUGCAAGCUGGCACUGCCCUCACCGAGUGGGCACUGAUCUCACCAAGAUGGCAUUGAGCGCGACGGGUUAGAGGGGACCUUAUCAAUAUGGCGCCGAGCGCGACGGACUGGAAGCGACCUCACCAAUACGGCGCUCAACGCCGCGGUCCUGGCGCUGCCCGCAGCAAGCUGGCAAUGCCCUCACCGAGUCGCCACCGCUCGCCGCAGGCUGGCAGUGACCCUCUGCAAGCUGGCGCCGCCCCCCGUGAGCUGGCGCUGCCCGCUCUUAGGCUGGCAGUGCCCUCACCACGACGGCGCCGCCGGCAGCGCAGGCUCGGCGGUGACCUCACCAAGAUGGCGCCGACGUCCCGCCUGCGACGCUGACCUCACCAAGGUGGCUCCGGGGGCGGUUCCCGCCGCCCCUCCCCUCUCGCAUGCGCAGAGCGCUCAGGCCAGGCCGCAGGGAGGGGCGCAGGGGACAGAGCCACUCUGAAGGCUGCCCGGGGGGCGUCUGGGCCCCGGAGGUGGGAGCUGAACUGCUUUGCCCCAGCCCAGCUGCAGAUCUGCACUCAGCCUCAGCCCCAAGCCCUGGCAGGGUGGGAUGCUUUGGUACCAGGCCGUGGAGCUGUUUGAAAUGCAAUUGCUGCUUGCAGCUGGUUCAGAAAUGGAUUUCCUGUGGCUGUGGGGGCAGAAAUGUCUCUGUGCACACGCUCAGAGGACAGGUCCCUGGAUUGCAGUGCUGCUCCAAUGGCCUGUGGUGGCUGCAGGCAGCCGCGGCCCGGGGAGCCCAAGACUCAGCGUGUGGAAGGGUUGGGAGCAGCCCUGGGUGCCUGCAAGGAUUCGGGAGGCCCGAGCAGGUCUGAAACCCUGCCACGGAGAGGCACAGGCCCCGCAGCAGUGCCUGCAUUUCAGCAGCUGCCCAUCGGAGCUAAGCACAGCCUCGGCUCAGAGCUCAGGAGCAUGUCUGCUGGGCAGUGCUGGGGGCCAGGCAUCCCUCCUGUGUGUGCAUGGCCCACAUGGCAGCACGCUGCAGUCAGAGCUGACUGUGUGCACUGGAGGUGGAGUGUUGGAGUGGGAUCAGCUCAGAGGUCUGCAAGGUUUGCACUUUGCUUUCCACUCCACUGGCCAAGCCAGCCAGAUGUGCAGCAGCAGCGGGAUGGGCACGAGGGCCCCAGCUGCUGCGGUGAAUCCGUCAGCACAGACGCUGGUGCCGCUGCAGCCUGGCCCUGCAGCCUGGCAGGGUGAUCUCCUUUGGCUCGGCUCCUGUGGGCUCCAGCUCUCUCCAGCAAGCAUGGCAUGAGCUGAAGGAGCAGCAGGAGCAGCAUGGCCGUUCCCCAGGCAGCAGGAGGGUUCAGCCCAGCACCAGCUCAUGCGGGAGGAGCAGAUGCUGAGGAACAUCCCCCACGAGACGCAGGUGGCCAAAGAGGCUGGGUCAGGUGCCAAAAAGGAGACCUUCUUCACCUGCUUCUCCUGUGCAAGCUCUUCUGUCUGUCUGCUGAGAUGUUUCUGCCUGUUUCUCUGGCAGAGAAGUGUUUGCUUUUUUGGCUGGCGAGCUGACCAUCCGUACUACCGUCGCCUUGAAUGCCUCCAACCAGCAGUGUUUGCUGCCAGACAGACACCUGGAGAAGACAGAGGACAUGGUUAAGUUCAUGGAGGAUAUCUUGGAUGGUGCUGCUGAAGCACAGGCUGGUGAUGGACUUCUGCAACGAAGCAAGAGAGUCAUCUAUGAGGCCAAGGCUGCUGUAAUGGUAGAGUGUGGGAAGCUUUCUCCUGCAGCGGAGCAUGAAAUGUAAACAUCAGGCCCUGUGAUGGGAAGUGUCCGUGGGUCUUACCGAUUCCCAGGGGCCUAAGCUGGCAACCAUGAGCAACCCACGCACAGCUGUCAGGGGGUGGAAUCUGCCGGCCCCCGGGGCGGACGCAGCCCCAAGGGGGGCUGACCCUGGCCAGCCCCCCUGGGUGGUACUCACAGGUUGUUUACCACAGGUAACCUAUCUCUGCCUUACACAUAACUUGGGGCCAAUCUGUACUGUCCACUUCUGCCUGCCCCAGGCUGGCUGGAAACACCUCCUCUGAGCACUAUAUAAGACACUGCACUACCCUAAUAAAGUUGUACUGAUGCACAGAUGCCUGGAAGCUGCUGUCUCGAGUCGUCAGUACCCCGAUCUCGCUGCUCGCCAGCCUCCGUACUCCGACAGUAGAGUUCAUUGCUUAUUCAGUGAGGUGAUGCUCUUGUCAGUCAAGAAGGACUUAGUUGCAGAGGCUUUAGAAAUGCUUUGAUGUAAGCUUGUUGCUAUGCUGUGCCGAGUGUAUCUAUUGUCACUAUUUAGAACUAGGCUUAAACCAAAUGAACUUCUGGAUUAAAACAGCCAAUCAUGUCUGCCACAGUUCUAACUGUUCCACCUGCAGGAAUGUCACAUUUUUCACUCUGCUGUUAGUCUGACAUAUUUUAAGGGACAGAAUCAUGAAAAUCCAACCUCUUUUCCUUGA